CUUGUCUUCAGCUUCAGGUGGAACAGCUGUGACCUGUAUGGUGAUCAGACCCAGAGAGGAGAGACACCUGGUCCAACAAGGUGACGGACGAGCCGCAGCAGGAAAACUGAGGAUCUGAGUGUCGUCUUGUGAAGAAACUCCUUCAGGUCAUGCAGUUGUUUGCUGACUACAGUUUCACCUGCUCACACUGGGAGCACUGUCGUCUUUAAUGGAUAUUUACGUGAACAGUGGGACUUGUCUUCAGCUUCAGGUGGAACAGCUGUGACCUGUAUGGUGAUCAGACCCAGAGAGGAGAGACACCUGGUCCAACAAGGUGACGGACGAGCCGCAGCAGGAAAACUGAGGAUCUGAGUGUCGUCUUGUGAAGAAACUCCUUCAGGUCAUGCAGUUGUUUGCUGACUACAGUUUCACCUGCUCACACUGGGAGCACUGUCGUCUUUAAUGGCUAUUUACGUAAGAAACCCUUUUUUUGAAUUACACUGUUGUGGUUUGAAUCCUGCUCACCCGAUUUUUAAAGAAGUCUUUUGAUGGAGUCCAGCGUCUCCUCUCAGUGGCGUUGUCAAAGCUUCCACUAUAUUUGAAAUAUACAGUUUUUUGGUUGGACUUACUGUAAUUUACUGUAUUUGCGUUUUCGGGCACGUUAAUUUUGAACGGGAGUGCUUGGGGCAGAGAUACAAUGGCAUCAAAAUCUCUAUUUUUAAAACAGUGAGAAGUCUCGACAACAUGAAACUUUGCCCGUAGUAUCACCAGGGUCUCUACACAUGAACACCAGCACUGAGAACAUUGUUUGUGUACACAGAGUUUAUGAAAAAGGUUUUUGAACUACUCAUGUCUGCUAACGUGAGUAGUUCAAAAACUUUUUUUUCUUUUUGUUUGUUUCUGUUUGUUGAUCAGGAGGGUUAUUUAAAAUGUUUAUUCUGAUAGUUACUUCUUUAAUAAGUCGUCAGUAACAUAAACGAGGUCAGCCCAUCUAAAUCGGGAAAAAAAUAUAACUGUUCACUGUGGCUUUCAAAUAAGUAAAUAAUUUAAUGCAUUUCUUUUUUAUCUGUAGCUGAUUAUAUUAUGUUUUCUCUUCUUUUAGAUGCUGUUUUAAUGUCUUAAUGUUUUUAGUUUUGAUUAAUUUCCAUAUCUCUGUAUGGAUUGAAUUCUAUGUAAAUAAACUGGCCAAAGUGACUGAGCUCUUAACCUUGUUUUAAACUGAGGUACUUAAAAUAAAAUAAAACUCGCACCAGUAAUCAUCA